AUAGUUUGAUGCUGGCUCAGAACGAACGCUGGCGGCGUGCCCAACACAUGCAAGUCGAACGAGAAAGUUCCUUCGGGGACUAGUAAAGUGGCGCAAGGGUGAGUAACACGUGAAUAAUCUGCCCUCGAAAUCGGGAUAACUUGGCGAAAGUUAAGCUAAUACCGGAUAAGACCACAUUUCCUAAGAAAUGCGGUAAAAGGAGUCUCAAACUCCAUUUGAGGAUGAGUUCGCGGACCAUUAGCUUGUUGGCGGGAUAACAGCCCACCAAGGCGACGAUGGUUAGCCGGCCUGAGAGGGUGAUCGGCCACACUGGAACUGAGACACGGUCCAGACUCCUACGGGAGGCAGCAGUGGGGAAUAUUGCGCAAUGGGCGAAAGCCUGACGCAGCAACGCCGCGUGAGGGAUGAAGGUCUUUGGAUUGUAAACCUCUGUCGAAUGGGAAGAAAAUUUGACGGUACCAUUAAAGGAAGCCCCGGCUAACUCCGUGCCAGCAGCCGCGGUAAUACGGAGGGGGCAAGCGUUGUUCGGAAUUAUUGGGCGUAAAGAGUAUGUAGGCGGUUAGAUAAGUCAGGUGUGUAAGCCCAGGGCUCAACCCUGGAAUUGCACUUGAAACUGUUUAACUUGAGUUCAGGAGAGGAAAGCGGAAUUCCCAGUGUAGCGGUGAAAUGCAUUGAUAUCGGGAAGAACAUCGGUGGCGAAGGCGGCUUUCUGGUCUGAUACUGACGCUGAGAUACGAAAGCUAGGGGAGCGAACGGGAUUAGAUACCCCGGUAGUCCUAGCUGUAAACGAUG
rnacentral:rRNA from 1 species